UCCUGAACAGGUAACCAAAUGGUUACUCUGACUAUUUGCAUUGCCCCGAGCUCAUCGCCCACACCAGACAGGAAUAUGAGGACGUGGCUGUCAAACUGGGUUGUGACAUGGAAUAUCUGAAGAUGAUCCGGUCCCGUGUGUGGAAGCAGCGUAUCUGCAGCCCUCUGUUCAACACCAAGCAGUACACUAUGGAUCUGGAGAAGCUCUACCUGCAGAUGUGGGAGCGUCAUGCCAGCGGCAGCAAGCCAGACCACCUGGUCAAACUGCAGCCCGUCGAGAGCAGUGAGAGCGCCUGAAGUCCCAGACCCAGGGUGUGUCCCAAAUGGCACCCUAUUCUCUAUAUAGUACACUGCCUAUGACCGAGGCCCGAGACAUAGGUAGUGCACUACAAAAAGGAACAUGGUGCUUUAUGGGACGCGACCCCCCCCCCCCCUGAACCUGACGUCCCAUCAAUCGAUGCACGUCGCCCCCACCGUGACCUCUAACCCCCAGAACUCUUAACUCCAGUCCCUCCAGAGCAGCAGAAGCAUCUGGGCUUGAACUCUGACCCCCAAUCGCCCCUAAACCACCACUCUGCCCCUCCUGCCCAAAGCCUAGCGCCUAUCUGCUCCCCUUUAGCCCCCUUCAUCCCUGCCUCCCUCCCCUGUGACUUGGACUCUUGUCUGUUGUAGAGCCUGCAGGUGUGUCUCCCUCUACCCCCCUCCCUGCCAUUCACCUCCCUCGUCAUCAUAUCCCAUCCAUGUUGGUUUCCCUGAGCCAGAACCACUCUGCCCUUCACCUGAGACUCUUUCCCCCAAACCACAGCAUCCACACUGGGUACGAGAGGAGGGACACCCCUUCUCCAUCCCUCCCUCCCUCCAUACAGCGCCUAGAAGAGACCCCCCUUGGCCUUUUCACUUUCCUUCUGUGUGUGUAUAUGGGACUCGUUAGGGCCUUGAGGUUUGAGAGCCAGUCCCAAGCCUCCAUGUAAUAAUUGAAUAUGUAAUAAGAGGUUGAUGUUAUAAGAGUACAAAGGGACUGUGUUGCACCGCAGUUUGAAGAUCUAGUCACUCGUCUUGAACUAAAAACAUUGAAUCAGCUUAAACAUGUUAAAACAUUGUCUUUAGUUUGCAGCUGCUCUUGGUAACUCUGCCAGGAUUUGAGUAGAUAGUUUCAUUAUCAGAUUUCAGAGAGAAGGAUAACCACUUCCUUCCCCCACCACCCAAAUGCCAACUUAAGGAUUUUGUCAUGUGUCAAUGUAAGAAAACAAAAAAUAUUCUCGAUGGCUUUGUCCUCUUGUUCGAUGUCACGCACUAUGCUUGUUAAGACCAAACCUUGUGGAUAAAAUGAGGAGUUUCUGUACUACCCCAUUGGAAUGGCCCUGUUUUUCUUUCACCCUUCGUUAUGCUGCUCCUCUCCCCAUGCAAGGAUUGAUUUUUAUCACUCAAACCAGGAAUGGCCUAGGUAAGUAUUUUCUGAGCAGUUUUAGUUUUUGUACUCUUGCCUUUGUUUUAUUGAAGCUCUGUCUGGUAUGCUGCAAGGCUCUGACUCCAUGUCUGUUGAAAUAAAGAAACAAGGCCAACCUC